rnacentral:rRNA from 1 species
AUGUUUCUGAUAUGGAAACUGUUGUACCUGCACCGGUUUCUUCAGACGAGGGACAUGACGCUACUGCAGCAAUGCAAGAAGAGGCCGUGCAUCUUCAAAACGACGAGCAAAAGGAACCUACUGGUUGAGGAGCAUAGCCAGGAAGAUGCAGGUGAUGUUCCUGCUAUGGAAACUGCACAGGUUUCCUUUGACGAUGAAAAUGAUGAUACUGAAGAAAUAGAAGAGGAGCAGGGUCAGGAAGACGAAGGUCGUGUGGAAACUGUUGUGCCGGUUUCUUCAGACGGGGCAAGUGGUGGUACCGAAGAAAUGGAAGAAGAGGACCAGCAAGGUAAGGACAGUUUGCAUCAAAUCAGUAUGCUUGCGCUAUUUGAUUCACUACCUGACGCGAAUUCUCUUUUUGCAACAAGCGGUUGUUUCUGA